UGACGAGACAGACCCUGAAACAUAAACAUAGUAUUUCUCUGUGUGCUAAAUAACAAAGAAAUAACUAGGGAAUAAAUAAUCAUAUUUCCCAGGUAGGCCUAUGUAAAAACCACCUUGUCGAAUUGGUCUGGCCCAGACCAUUGCCAUUGUCCCCACUUCCAUUCUAGGGAAUCACCCAUAAUUAACCAAACCAAAAAGGAACCAAAAAAGAUGUUCCACGUUUCCGGCGGGGCUUCUUUGCGUCGGACUGACCAGCUAGCCGAGGACACAAACUCCCAAUCAGUCAGUAAUCCAUUUAUCCUUAUUCAAUGAGACACCGUUGGUGCACCAACGUAGUUCACUUAAAUAAAUGGUUCCAACGUUCCAGAAGUUCGUGCAAUCAAUUGUGUGCUUGUUUGUGUGUGCAAAUCCAUGCGAGUUUGUGUGCAAAUACGGGGCAGGAGUGUGCCGUUCACGUGCGGUCACACCACGACCGUCACAAUUCGGCAUGUUUAUGUAUGAACCAAAGCUUGCACCAGAACUUUUGUCUAGUGGUCAGGUUUCAUUAAAUCAAGCAAAAAGGACCCCAUGAGAUGUGAACCAUGUCGAAAAAACAUGUGAGAGGGUAUGGCCGGAGUGUUUCAUGUUUUGUUAUUUUUUGCUCCAAGUUCCUGAUAUUAAUAGGUACAUACAUAGCGACAUCCAACAACAAGAGCUGCACAAAAAAACUCUGAUUAAUUACUUUUGUCCAAGCUAGUAUGGUUGCAACUGUCUAACACAAAAAUCCUCUCUGCUAGUGACCGUGGAUUCAGGUUUCCACUGAACAAGUAGAUUCAAGUGAAAGGCCUCACGGAGGCUGACACCAUGACAACAUGAAGCUCAGGCUUCUAAGCACCACUGGAUCUCUGAGAGGGCCUCCACUCAGGUUUGUGGAGGUGCCUGAAGAACCCACUGAGGCCCCCUUUAGCCCGAAGGCUGACGCAGAGGUCCCAGGCAUUAGAGGGGUCACCUGCUGCACCCCAGAAUAAGGCAGUAAGGCCCCAGACCUCAGAGCCUGGGCCCUACUACUACUUUUACCAGGCGGAUGAUGGGCAACAGAUGUUCCUGCACCCAGUGAAUGUGCGCUGUCUGCUGAGGGAGCACGGCAGCCUGGAGGCCAGCCCCCCGGCCAUCACCGCCACUGUAGUAGAGGUGGAGGGACAAGCAGUCACCGAGAAUCGCAGACUGUACGUUAAACACUAGAACGGCCAUGCAGUUCAGACGGGUAAAAUGGCAGACUGCCGUCGGCAUCGGCACCUGGCCCAUCUGCCCCUGACCUGUGAGUUCAGCAUCUGUGAGUUAGCCUUGCAGCCUCCACUCCUCUCCAAAGAGACCUUGGACAGUGUUGCAGAUCCAGAAGUGCACAUUGGCCUGGAGAACCUGCAGCGAUUCCCUGCAUUUGGUUCUCCUCCCAACAGCAGCAGCUGCCCUCCUGCCCACCCUGAGUUCCUUCUGGCUCUGGCCCUGCCUCAGGUAGCACACACACACACGCACGCCUUAUGUUAAGAGUGGCUUGCGAGUGCAAAGGCCUGUAAAACACAGCAGUGUCCCUCUGCACUGGCCACGGUUGGUUUUGCCCAUUAGCCUCCCAAACCAUUGAGAGUGUAAUGGUGUAUUGAAUAUCAAAAUUGACAACAUGGUUGACAGUACACUGCAGACUGACCCAUGCCCAGAUGAAUAUGAACUCCCUUCACCCCAUCCCGCAAUCUCAAGUCUAUUGUAGUUUUCUUUAAAUUGAUUUUUUAACACAAGGCCAUCUUUUUUAUUUUGAGAUGUAGUUUUUAAGGGUUGAUGUAAUGGUGGAUUGUUGGAGUGGGUAGGUGGGUGAAGUGUAGCAGUCAGCCAGCUGUAGAUUUACCUUCCAGGACCCCUCUCCCACUUCAGUCAGUUGCACCUUAACAAACCUGUUGCCCCUGCAAGCCAAGUAAACGGCUGCCAGGUUUCCUAGUGCUUUUUGAGAUCAUAGUGUUAAUGGCAGCCAUCUUAACCUGAGCCAUAUUGCUUUUAUGAUAAACUAGAUUGGAACAUUUAUCUCUGAAAUGGUCUGUACCUCAU